GCAUCAGUGGUUUUAGUGGUAAAAUCCAUCGUUGCCAUCGAUGGGCCCCGUGUUCGAUUCACGGCCGAUGCA